AGGCUAUGAUGAGAAAAGUCAUGCACCACUCUGAAGAGAAUCAUCUCUUUGUGCUGAUAAACAAACUUACAACCCAUUUUACAUCUGAGCCA
rnacentral:snoRNA from 2 species